rnacentral:rRNA from 1 species
CGAAGCCUAGUGGUAUCCUGAGUAGCGCGGAGCACGAGGAAUUCUGCGUGAAUCUGCCGGGACCAUCCGGUAAGGCUAAAUACUCCCGAGAGACCGAUAGUGAACCAGUACUGUGAAGGAAAGGUGAAAAGCACUUCGAACAGAAGAGUGAAAUAGUUCCUGAAACCAUGUGCCUACAAGCGGUCGGAGCACCUUCUGGUGUGACGGCGUGCCUUUUGCAUAAUGAACCUACGAGUUACUUUUUCCGGCGAGGUUAAGGAUUUCAGAUCUGCAGCCGAAGCGAAAGCGAGUCUGAACAGGGCGUAUAGUCGGAAGGAGUAGACGCGAAACCAAGUGAUCUACCCUUGGGCAGGUUGAAGGAUGGGUAACACCAUCUGGAGGACCGAACCAAUAAGCGUUGAAAAGCUUCUGGAUGACCUGAGGGUGGGGGUGAAAGGCUAAUCAAACUUGGAGAUAGCUCGUACUCCCCGAAAUGCAUUUAGGUGCAGCCUUGACUUAUACUGGCAUGAGGUAGAGCGACUGAUAAGAUGCGAGGGCUUCACCGCCUAUCAAGUCUUGACAAACUCCGAAUGCGUGUCAGUUCUAUGUCAGGAGUGAGGGCAUGGGUGCUAAGGUCCAUGUCCUAAAGGAGAACAAUCCGGACCAACAGCUAAGGUCCCGAAAUGAAUACUAAGUUGAACUAACGAAGUCAGAUUGCUAAGACAGCUAGGAUGUUGGCUUGGAAGCAGCCAUUCAUUUAAAGAGUGCGUAACAGCUCACUAGUCGAGGAGUUUGGCGUGGAUAAUAAUCGGGCAUAAGUAUUCUACCGAAGCUUUGGGAUGAGAAAUCAUCGGUAGGGGAGCAUUCCACUCGGCGUCGAAGGUGAGGCGUGAGCCUUGCUGGAGCGUGUGGAAAAGCAAAUGUAGGUAUAAGUAACGAUAAGGCAGGCGAGAAACCUGCCCGCCGAAAGACUAAGGUUUCCUGAUCAACGCUAAUCGGAUCAGGGUAAGUCGGGUCCUAAGGCUCAGCCGAACGGCGAGGCCGAUGGCAGAACCGGUUAAUAUUCCGGUACUACCUGUGGGAGUGACGUGGAGACGGAGUCGUGACAGCGCCGCGGACUGACGGAAUAGUCCGUUGAAGGGUGUAGAUGCUGAUUGUUCCAGGCAAAUCCGGAGCAAGAGUCGAACCUGAUAGUAUGGAGCGUUCUUAGAACAAUCCAAUAGUGCGUGUAAUCAUACUUCCAAGAAAAUCCGCUAAACUUAAUCCUGCAGGUACCCGUACCGCAAACGGACACACGUAGUCGGGUUGAAUAUACUAAGGCGCUUGAGUGAUUCACGGUUAAGGAACUAGGCAAACUGACCCUGUAACUUCGGGAUAAAGGGUCCUCGCUUUACGGCGAGGCGCAGAGAAUAGGUCCAGGCAACUGUUUAACAAAAACACAGGGCUGUGCAAAAUUGAAAGAUGAAGUAUACAGCCUGACACCUGCCCGGUGCUGGAAGGUUAAGAGGAGAUGUCAUCGCAAGAGAAGCAUUGAAUUGAAGCCCCAGUAAACGGCGGCCGUAACUAUAACGGUCCUAAGGUAGCGAAAUUCCUUGUCGGGUAAGUUCCGACCUGCACGAAUGGUGUAAUGAUCUGGACGCUGUCUCAACCGUGAGCUCAGUGAAAUUGUAGUAUCGGUGAAGAUGCCGAUUACCCGCGAUGGGACGAAAAGACCCCGUGAACCUUUACUAUAGCUUAACAUUGAAUUUGGGUAAUUGAUGUGUAGGAUAGGCCGGAGGCUUUGAAGCGGGCACGCCAGUGUCCGUGGAGCCGCUGUUGAAAUACGGCCCUUUGAUUAUUUGAGUUCUAACCCGUUGUUGCGGGGACACUGUUUGGUGGGUAGUUUGACUGGGGUGGUCGCCUCCAAAAGUGUAACGGAGGCUUCUAAAGGUGCCCUCACGACGAUUGGUAACCGUCGGCAGAGUGUAAUGGCAUAAGGGCGCUUGACUGGGAGACUUACAAGUCGAUCAGGUAGGAAACUAGAGCAUAGUGAUCCGGUGUUUCUGUAUGGAAAGGACAUCGCUCAAAGGAUAAAAGGUACUCCGGGGAUAACAGGCUGAUCCCUCCCAAGAGCUCAUAUCGACGGAGGGGUUUGGCACCUCGAUGUCGGCUCGUCACAUCCUGGGGCUGGAGAAGGUCCCAAGGGUUGGGCUGUUCGCCCAUUAAAGUGGCACGCGAGCUGGGUUCAGAACGUCGUGAGACAGUUCGGUCUCUAUCUAUCGUGGGCGCAUGAAAUUUGCGUGGCUCUGACACUAGUACGAGAGGACCGUGUUGGACUGACCUCUGGUUUACCGGUUGUGCCGCCAGGUGCAUUGCCGGGUAUCUAAGUCGGGAUUGGAUAAGUGCUGAAAGCAUCUAAGUACGAAGCCAGCCACAAGAUUAGAUUUCUCAGGGUCGUUGUAGACUACAACGUUGAUAGGAUGCAGGUGUACAGGCAGCGAUGUCAUAGCUGAGCAUUACUAAUUGCCCGUCCACUUUUUGCC